GUAUACGCGUGAUACGCGUUGCGUGCGCCUCGCGCCCAAGUGUACGUAGUGAAAUGUACAGCUGUUAACCCGCAGCUAAAAAGCAUACUAAAUAAUCGUCGUUAAAGACCGCAUAAUGACUGCUACGGGAUGUGCGAGACGUUAUUGGUUGCCUACAUCCGAUGUAUAUAGACUACCCGUGAAAUUGGCAGCACGUAUCGCAGAGCGACACAGAAGGUGUCCGCAGUUUCAGGAAGAGUGAAAAAGGAGGAGGAGAAGGAGGAAGAGAACGACGGCAAUGACGAUGGACGGCCGAUAGAAGGAAGGAGGAGGGAAGAAAAAGAAGAAAUGUUCCGUGCAAACACGGCAGCGGCUGUCUCCCACAGAGGCAACUGCCCGGGAUGAACGAGGAUGCUCGAGAAAGACGAAAGAAAGAAGGUACUGAGGAAUAAGAAAGAGAGAAAGGCUUGGCAGAGAGAACCCCCGGAUGAUGGAUUCGGAGAGACACGAGAGAGAAAAAGAGAGGAAGAGAGAGAGAGAGAGAGAGAGAGAGAGAAACAGAAGGAGAGAGAGGCGAUAGAUGGUUACCUUGGUAGGCAGAUAUAAUGUAGCCAGCUGUAGGCAGUCGGUAAUCACAUGUUUGUUUAACCUCCAAAACCCCUCAUCUACGGGGUCUCCCCCUCGACCACCCUAACGGGCCGACGGAGCCUGGGCCACCCCGAGCCUUCACCAAACAAAGAUGUUGAGUUUUCUUUCUCUCUUUUGCUCUUGCGUGACGGCAGAUCUUCUUUCGCGUUUUCUUAUAGAGUUAGACCGAUCUGCGGAAUCGAAGAUGAGGGGGACGCUAGUGACGGUUAGCCUCGGUCCACAGUGCGUAUUUAAUGGAGUUGGCGCACGUCCGGAUCCCCGGAAAGCGCCGAGGAUUACGUGCGCGUUUUUCACGCAUCGCGGAUGACACUGCGAUUCGUCCCACCGACAUUU